UACGUAGGGUGCGAGCGUUGUCCGGAAUUAUUGGGCGUAAAGGGCUCGUAGGUGGUCUGUCGCGUCGGGAGUGAAAACUCAGGGCUUAACCCUGAGCCUGCUUCCGAUACGGGCAGACUAGAGGUAUGCAGGGGAGAACGGAAUUCCUGGUGUAGCGGUGAAAUGCGCAGAUAUCAGGAGGAACACCGGUGGCGAAGGCGGUUCUCUGGGCAUUACCUGACGCUGAGGAGCGAAAGUGUGGGGAGCGAACAGG
rnacentral:rRNA from 1 species